rnacentral:rRNA from 1 species
GACGAACGCUGGCGGCGUGCUUAACACAUGCAAGUCGUACGGUAAGGCCCUUUCGGGGGUACACGAGUGGCGAACGGGUGAGUAACACGUGAGUAACCUGCCCACAACUUUGGGAUAACGCUAGGAAACUGGUGCUAAUACUGGAUAUGUGCUCCUGCUGCAUGGUGGGGGUUGGAAAGCUCCGGCGGUUGUGGAUGGACUCGCGGCCUAUCAGCUUGUUGGUGGGGUAGUGGCCUACCAAGGCGGCGACGGGUAGCCGGCCUGAGAGGGUGACCGGCCACAUUGGGACUGAGAUACGGCCCAGACUCCUACGGGAGGCAGCAGUGGGGAAUAUUGAACAAUGGGCGCAAGCCUGAUGCAGCAACGCCGCGUGCGGGAUGAAGGCCUUCGGGUUGUAAACCGCUUUCAGCAGGGACGAAGCUUUUUGUGACGGUACCUGCAGAAGAAGCACCGGCUAACUACGUG